UUUCAAAUGGAUUACAAAUAUGAAUGUAGGUAUUUGUGUUACGUAAAUUGAUGAGCUUAAAGAUCUGCAGAUAAAGAAAGGCGAACAAAAGAAAAAAUCAAUAUACAGAUUACUCAUACGCAAUGCCAUAAUUGAGCUUGGUUAAUAAUUCAGCACUCGUCGAGCCGCUCUCUGUAUCUUUGUCUCUCUCGCUUGGUAAUUUACGCUCUUGGCCACAUUAUGACGCACAACGCACACACUGUACGAAAUCAUGUUCAGUUCAGUUUGUAUUCAGUUGUUUAAUCGUUUGGUUGUGCCCCAAUACCGGUCAUCUCCAUGACAACGGCAAUACGAGUAUAAAAAUUCAUGUUCGUCCAACAAUAACAACAACAACAACUUGUGGAAAAGGCUUCAAUUGCAUAUAUAGCAUUUGCAAUUGUUUAAACAAAUGACAGAGCUAACGACGCGGAACCGUUUCGAAAACUCAACAAUGGCCCAAAUGGAAGAACGACCCAACGAAACAGAGAUGAAGUCAAUGGAUGCGAAUCGUUAUGCGACGAAGAAAACAAUUGCCCAAGGAAUGCUGGAUAUAGCACUCUUAACAGCGAAUGCAUCGCAGCUAAAAUAUAUACUACAAGUCGGGGAACAGCAUCAGUUCUAUAAGCUGAUGCUAAUACUGAUUAGUCUGUCGAUUGUCUUACAGGUGGCUGCAGGAGUUUUGCUAGUUGUUCAGUCUCUUGUCAGCAUUGCCGAGUCAAAGGAUCGUUCUUUACUCUUUACAAUUAAUCAUUUUGUGGAUGCUUUCAUAUUUUUAUCUGUGUUCUGUGAUAUAAUGAAAAUGAAUUUUGGCUUGGAUCCAGCGGUACCAUUUAAGAAUAACGAUGUUGAAGUUUUGAAAACAUAAUCACACUGUAUUUAUACUUCAUUUGCUACUUUAUUGUAUUAAAAACUCGAAUAAUAUCUAUGUGCCAAUUUGCUAGUCAAGCGUAGUAUAAAUUUCAUAUUUUAAAUAUUUAAAUUGGCGCCUUUUGAAAUUUCAAGAAGUGUGUACACACUGUUGCACAAUUAGAUGACAUUCCUGUUGACAAUACAGUAUUAACAGCAAUAUUUAAAAUGUCCGAUGAUGAUGAUAUAUUCAAUGUGCCAACAAAGCGGGCAGAUG